rnacentral:rRNA from 1 species
CGACGAGUUUGAUCCUGGCUCAGAUUGAACGCUGGCGGCAGGCCUAACACAUGCAAGUCGAGCGGUAGAGAGGUGCUUGCACCUCUUGAGAGCGGCGGACGGGUGAGUAAUGCCUAGGAAUCUGCCUGGUAGUGGGGGAUAACGCUCGGAAACGGACGCUAAUACCGCAUACGUCCUACGGGAGAAAGCAGGGGACCUUCGGGCCUUGCGCUAUCAGAUGAGCCUAGGUCGGAUUAGCUAGUUGGUGAGGUAAUGGCUCACCG